rnacentral:rRNA from 1 species
GACGAACGCUGGCGGCGCGCCUAACACAUGCAAGUCGAACGAGAGAGAGGAAGCUUGCUUCCUUAAUCGAGUGGCGAACGGGUGAGUAACACGUAAGCAACCUGCCUGUUAGAGGGGAACAACAGUUAGAAAUGACUGCUAAUACCGCAUAUGCCUUAACUAUCGCAUGAUAGAAGAGGGAAAGGAGAAAUCCGCUAACAGAUGGGCUUGCGUCUGAUUAGAUAGUUGGUGGGGUAACGGCCCACCAAGGCGACGAUCAGUAGCCGGACUGAGAGGUUGGCCGGCCACAUUGGGACUGAGACACGGCCCAA